ACAAGUAAUGAAUGAUAUAAAAUAGUUCAUGAAUGUUGUGAGAGGAAGUCUUUUGCUUUAUACAGGAUUGCAAUGGCUUUAGACAUUUUAGAUUUAACAUAAUGAAUAUGUAUCUUCUAAAAGCC